AUGCAGGCGUGUGGAGCUCCGGAGUGGAGCUGGCGUGGCCAGAUCAACGGGGCAGAGGCCUGAGACGGAGAAAGGAGUGCUGGCCCCGCAGCGAGCUGAGAGCUGACGGUGGCUACAACAGGGCUUCCCCGGCCGAACCGGAACCGGGCGUCCAGAGCCUGGGAGCCGGACCAGCCACUGAAACGAUGAAAACACGGAGGGGAAGAGGCCGUUUCUGCAGUUUCCCAACUGCGCCGGUCCUGGGAGCGGCCUCCCAUAACGAGCAGCAGCCCUGGCCCGGCCUGAAAGGCGAACAUGCCCAGCGUCUGGCCUCCGCCGCGCAGCCCCAGCUCCCUGCCUGACACACACAUGGUCGCGCCCCGCCGACGAUUUGAAAGGUCGCAUUUUGCCCCUGUUACAACUCCCCCUCUUCUCAUUAAAAAAAAAAAAGAAAUAAUAAAAUACAAACUCGC
ensembl:lncRNA